GCGAUCCCUAUAAAUUGCAGUCGAGCGGACAGAUGGGAGCUUGCUCCCUGAUGUUAGCGGCGGACGGUGAGUAACACGUGGGUAACCUGCCUGUAAGACUGGGAUAACUCCGGAUGAAACCGGGCGCUAAUACCGGAUGGUUGUUUGAACCGCAUGGUUCAAACAUAAAAGGUGGCUUCGGCUACCACUUACAGAUGGACCCGCGGCGCAUUAGCUAGUUGGUGAGGUAACGGCUCACCAAGGCAACGAUGCGUAGCCGACCUGAGAGGGUGAUCGGCCACACUGGGACUGAGACACGGCCCAGACUCCUACGGGAGGCAGCAGUAGGGAAUCUUCCGCAAUGGACGAAAGUCUGACGGAGCAACGCCGCGGUGAGUGAUGAAGGUUUUCGGAUCGUAAAGCUCUGAUUGUUAGGGAAGAACAAGUACCGUUCGAAUAGGCGGUACCUUGACGGUACCUAACCAGAAAGCG
rnacentral:rRNA from 1 species